CGGUUGAUCCUGCCGGAGAUCACCGCUAUUGGGGUUCGAUUAAGCCAUGCGAGUCUUUGGCAGCAAUGCCAAGGCAAACUGCUGAGUAACACGUAGUCAACCUGCCCUUAAGUCAGGGAUAACCUCGGGAAACUGAGCAUAAUACCUGAUAUAUGAUAAUACCUGGAAUGGUUUAUCACUUAAAGCUUCGGCGCUCAAGGAUGGGACUGCGGUGGAUUAGGUUGAUGUUAGGGUAAUUGCCUAACAUGCCGAUAAUCUAUAGGGGCUGUGAGAGCAGUAGCCCCCAGACGGGUUCUGAGACACGAACCCAGGUCCUAAGGGACGCAGCAGGCGCGAAACCUCCGCAGUGCACGCAAGUGUGACGGGGGGACCUCAGGUGCUAGCACCACGAGUGUUAGCUUUUCGUGAGUUUAAAUUGCUUGCGGAAUAAGUGGUGGGUAAGACCGUUGCCAGCCGCCGCGGUAAUAACGGCACCACGAGUGGUGAUCACGCGUAUUGGGUCUAAAGCAUCCGUAGCCGGAUAGUCAAGUCAUUUGUGAAACUUUACAGAAAACUGUGAAAAGUGCAAGUGGAACUAGCUGUCUUGGAACCGGGAAGGGUUAGAGGUACUUCUAGGGUAGAGGUGGAAUUCUGUAAUCCUAGAGGGACCACCUGUGGCGAANGCGUCUAACUGGAACGGAUUCGACGGUGAGGGAUGAAAGCUAGGGGAGCGAANGGGANUAGAUACCCCCGUAGUCCUAGCUGUAAACGAUGCCCGCUAGGUAUUGUGUGUUUUUCGUGAACAUGCAGUGCCGUANGGAAGCCAUUAANCGGGCCACCUGGGAAGUACGGUCGCAAGGCUGAAACUUAAANGANUUGGCGGGGGGAGCAC
rnacentral:rRNA from 1 species